rnacentral:rRNA from 1 species
GAUGAACGCUGGCGGCGUGCUCAACACAUGCAAGUCGAACGGUGAAGGCUUAUCUUGCUCUGCUGGAUCAGUGGCGAACGGAUGAGUAACACGUGAGCAAUCUGCCCCUGACGCCGGGAUACGCGCUGGAAGCGGCUUCUAAUACUGGAUACGAGCUGCUAAGGCAUCUUCAUCAGCUCGAAAUAAUUUCGGUCAGGGAUGAGCUCGCGGCCUAGCAGCUUGUUGGUGAGGUAAUGGCUCACCAAGGCGGAGACGGGUAGCCGGCCUGAGGGGGUGACCGGCGACACUGGGACUGCGACACGGCGCAGAAUCCUACGGGAGACAGCAGUGGGGAAUCUUGCAGAAUGGGCGCGAGCGUGAUGCAGAAACGCUGGGUGAGGGACGACGGCCUUCGGGUUAUAAACCUCUUUUAGCAGAAAAGAAGCGAAAGUGACGGUAACUGACGAAAAAGCGCCGGCUAACUACGUG